rnacentral:lncRNA from 1 species
AAGCUCAUCAAUCUAGUGCUUUUAUCUUGCUUUUUCAAAGAAAAAAUUAUAAGCUAAGUUAGUAUAGCUUGUAUAGACUGAUAUAUCUUGAAAGUAUACCGUAGAUCUCGGCAGUUUGGGACCAAACCACCCAGCCAAUUCUAAGGAAGCCUGAGCAAUAAAUUUAGACCCAAUGGACCAAGUCAGGCCCAGUUCUUGAAGCCUGAGAACGCUAAGGGGUAGUCUUAGGUUCACUGAAAUUUGAUUUUGCCCAACUUCUCCCAGGUUG